rnacentral:rRNA from 1 species
GAUGAACGCUGGCGGCGUGCCUAAUACAUGCAAGUCGAGCGAACGGAUGAGGAGCUUGCUCCCCGGACGUGACGGGCGGACGGGUGAGUAACCGGUGGAUACCCUACCUUAAGGACUGGGAUAACUUCGGGAAACCGGAGCUAAUACCGGAUAUGAUAUUGAACGGCAUGGUUCAUUGGUGAAAGCGGGUUUUGCGGUGACUAAUGGAGGGAUCCGCGCCGCAUUAGCUAGUUGGUAAGGUAACGGCUUACCAAGGCAACGAUGCGUAGCCGACCUGAGAGGGUGAUCGGCCACACUGGAACUGAGACACGGUCCAGACUCCUACGGGAGGCAGCAGUAGGGAAUCUUCCGCAAUGGGCGAAAGCCUGACGGAGCAACGCCGCGUGAGUGAUGAAGGUCUUCGGAUCGUAAAACUCUGUUAUUAGGGAAGAACAAAUGUGUAAGUAACUAUGCACGUCUUGACGGUACCUAAUCAGAAAGCCACGGCUAACUACGUG